GGCGAGGUUGUUCGAGGUCAUUUCAUGAUGAGGAUGGACCAGACUUUAAGACAUUCUGAGCUCCAUGAAUGUCAUGAGACACUCCAGGAGACGGUGGUUGCAAUGCAUUAUCAACACCCCGCAACCCCAACCCUCCAAUGGAACCCAGAACCCUCCGGAGUUCCUCAGGACCUGUCGGCAUGAGUGAGGCGAACACAUCGUGCGUUGGAGGAAGAGUUGCAGUGACGACUUGGACCACAGGCCAGAAGCCUGAAAUAGAUUCUUUGAGAAUCUUAAAAGUCAAACAACUGGGCCUUGCGGGGAAGACUGAUGACGUGAGAAAAAAAGGAAAAAUUUGAUGGGCAGACGUGAGCGGCAGUGGUGCUGGUGGCGCAGGAUGUCCUGGAGGAGGACGACCUCGACUACCUCAAAGGAGCUGAUUCUAGCCUUGUGCCUGAUGGGGAAACAAGUGCACAUUUGUUGUGCUCUGUCUGAGAUGGAGAAGUGUGCGCCUUGCUGGCGUACUUCAAUUGAUGCCAGCAAGCCCAGCCAGCGAGUGACCGAUAGUGGCCGGUUCUCCCUUCGUGACCUCCCCCCCCCUUCUGCGGCCGACAAAGCUUGAAAUAUGAUUAAAUGUAAAUGUAAAAUAAGCAAUUAAAGAAAGAACAUUCAACAAAAUAAUUGUCUGUUAUAAUAUGAUUUUAGCUGGGAUUUAGCAGUAAUUUAAAGUUGGCCUAAUUGUUGUUUUGCAGUAGAUUUGUGUCUAUUAUAUUAUGUUGAAAGAAGUAUACUGCCUUACAAAGGCAAAGUGCAGUAACCAAUUACCGUAGGUUCAUUCUGAAAAUGUGUUCAUUCUGAAAAUGAUUUUCAUAAAGACCUCCUUUAUCUUGUGACUAAGAGUUAUGGUCAAAAUGUGCCCUGUUUUACAAAUAUUGCUAUGUCAAAUUUGCAGUAACUACAAUAUCCAACCUACCAAGUCUUUGAAGGCAUUUUUUCCCCUCAGUUUCAUUGUUGGCACUGCUGUUUACCUUUUGUAGGGCAGUUUAACCUAACGUCAGCAUAAGUAAUUUCGGCAACUUUGGCAACAUCACAGAUGUGGCAACAUGCCCGUCACAUGUUAGCCUGGGAAAUCCUCAGCUUCCACAAUCGUUUCGAUCUGAAAGACAAUCUCACUCGUGAUUAGGAUGGUAACCAGGCAAGACUAAGUUGUAAUAGGCCUAAGUAAUAGAAUAGAAAGCUUUUUUUUGUCAUUAUACAAAGUAUUCUGAGAUUUGAGCUUCCCUGCAAGGUGCACAGUCGUUUAUAGAUGAACAUUGUCCAGUAAGUGUGAGUUCAUUGUUGUAACAACUUUGGGGAAGAAGCUAAAAACACCUAGCGUGAUAAAGGCAUGUACAUAAAUGCCUGUGAAAUCAAUUUAUUGCCUGGUCGUGGGAGGUAUGGGUCGUCCCAUGCCUCACAGAUCCGGAGAUAUACAACUACAAGAAUGGAACACAUCCGUGGGAGUAUCUGCAUCAAAUACGUGAAGCACGUGCCAUAUCAGGUGAGAAAACGGCAUCCGGAUUUGUCUCAUGUCGAAACUGUCCCAUUCCGAGAUUCGGAUAUGCUCCAUAUAUGAAAAUUGGCACCAGCGUAUCAGUACCGUAUCUAUCAAUAUAUCUCCGUAUAUUGUAAAUAUCCAGAAAUAUCUUCAUACAAACAUC